UAUAUAACAUCAUAGCAGGUACAGAAUGUGUCUGAACAACUUGCAUUAAAAAAAGUGCUCUUUGUUGAGUUCUUAGGGAUCCAGAAGAUCUUAUUCGCGUGUAUUUGCACUCGGAAGGGUUAUGAUGACUAUAUAAUAAUCAGACAUAGUACGAUAAGGUAGUAUGUCUAAAGGGAAACAGCCCAGAACAAGAGUUAAUAAGGUUCCAAAAUUAUUGUUAAGUGAAAAUAAGGAAGUUUCAAUCAAAUAUGCCCAGGAAAUAGGCUUAGAUGCGGCCAUUUUUUGAAGACCUCGUAACAGAGCACUGGAUUAGUAAAUUAUUUUUAUAAUUUAUAUUGAUAAAAGCACCAAAAAUUUAACGGAUCUAAACAAUAUACCGAGACCUUGUCCAUAUUUAUAUAUAUAUCUAAGUAGUAUAUUGUAUUUAUGGGGUAGCGGAACAUUGGGCAAAUAUAAGAAUUUUUCUUUUUAAGACUUAAGAUAAUAUAACCCAAGCGAUAAUGCUGACAUGAGUAACGAUAAAGGGAAUAAACUAUUCCCUCGCCUAAAACUUAUGGUAUUUACUUAAAGUAACGGCCUCUAAGUUUAUGCACCUAAAGGACUAAACGAUGAGAAAAUCUAAUCUACUAAUGAUGAGAAAAUCUACUCUCCUAAACGGUGAGAAAAUCUACUCACUGCGAAUAAAUAACCUUUGUGAUGAGACUUAUGCCGCUAUAGACGUAGUAAAGUGUAAGCUUUUUUGCUAAGUAACAAGGUUCUGGAAAAUUUAUGUAGUGCAUCAUGGACAAUAGGAGGACGCAAUCUCCUGCCUACCAUGUGUAAAAGACCGUACCUAGAAACUACCCCCAGUAAGUUAGUA
rnacentral:rRNA from 1 species